UUACGACCACAUCAGUUUGAAAUACCGGAUCUCGUACGAUACCGAAGUUAAGCAACGUCGAGCCUGGUCAGUACCUUGACGGGUGACUGCUUGGGAAUAACAGGUUUUGUAAG